CUAUUUAUGGGUACUUUAAUCACCCAUAUUUGGGUACUGCAAACUUUACUCACAUUAUGAGUGAAAUGUACUGAGAAAAUCAGUCAAUUUCACUCAAAUUGUUCGUAAUAUGACUUUACCAAGAUAUGGGUAAACUAAUUUACUCAUAUUUGGGUGAAAAAAUAAACAUUGACAUCAGAACCACGAUCAGCGUUUUGGGAAGUUGCCGAAGUUUCAUAAGCUGAAAUUACAAUUAGCUUCACCUUAGCGCACAAAUGAAUAACCAACUCUCAGCCUUAACGGAUACGGAUACCCAUGGAGUUACAGCCGUUGCAUGCACCCGGUCAAUAGGAACAGCAGAAGUCGGAGCAGCUCGCUUUUCAAUGAUUUCCACCGGUGGAACUUCCGUUCUCGAUCGCGAAAGAACUGCUUAAAUUUGGCAUGCAUGUAGCUGACGGCCGGCGAUGAAAUUCUUGCACCCGCUGGUACCCAAAUGCAGUUCCAAUUGUUAUUGUGAUCAGCAGAUUCCCCGAAAUAGCGGUAAGUGAUGCUGGAAGCAAAUGAUUUGUGCUGUUGGAAUUGACGUAAUUGCUUGUUUCAGAGAAUCGAUGACCGCAGCAGAGGCUGUUUCAAGCAGAAACUUCUUCUACAACUGGCAGCUGUACUUUGGACGGCUAUGGUGUCCCCAGCAGCAGUGUAAAAUCUAUCUUGGACCAUAUCUCAUCAGCCCACCCGGUUUUUUAAUAACCCCUCAGAGCGAAUCAAUAAACUGUGAUGGCACCAGCGAAGCCAUCUAGUCCUGUUCCUCCUUUCGAACCACAAUGAGGAAUCCGUCGAAUCAACAGCCACCGUAUCCGGUUCAGCUGCCAGCCGUGGAACAAAUUGUCAUCCACAGCGGAUUGAAUCCUACAACGUGUUCAACGUGAUGGACACCCGUUUCGCCCACUCAACAAGCAGGAAUAUCAGGCAGCUGCACCAGCUGAUGUUACUUAUUUUACCCGAGAUUUUACCAGCAGCAGCUCCUGCUGUUCCGAUUUGAAAAGUGGUACAUGAUUUCGUUUUAUUAAAUAGAUGUUU